GCUAUAUCACUUUUUAAUGGACACCCUGCAGCCGAUCAGAAUCAAGUAUUCACCCAGACCGUGGUAUAACAUUUAACCAUGUGUAAGUUACAGAAUAUUCUUAGAGGAUUGUGGAUAUAUCUCUAAGCAGCUCAUUAUGUAAUUGGUGAUCAGACUCUAUGGGUUACAAAGUUUGCCUACGUCACAGAGGUCAUUUAAGGUCAGAGGGCAAGUUCAGCUACAUCUGGAGCAGAGAGGGUGCCUCAAUCUGGUUCAAGCACUCCUCAGGAUAGGAAGGCCGAUCUUACUACCGUGGGGGCUUGAACUCAUGCUCACUGUGCUGGACUGCUGUCCCCAGUGUACAAACCCUUCAUGCAAUGUCCUGGAGGAAAUAAUGGCAAAGAGAAGGAGAGGACUACGCAGCCUCUGGAAUUGACUGUGAAAUUAACGGGAGAAACGUUAUUCCAGUGCGCUGCACUAACCAGUGUAACAAAUAGUGACAGCGAUAACGAAGCAGGUAAUGAAAUAACCCUCUCAUCUUGUCUCCGUGGGCCAACCCUCCAGCAGCUAUUUGUCACAAAGCAGAUGUUUCAGAGAACCAUGACCUCGAGUGUGGUUGCUGGGGAAUGGGAGCUUGGCGCCAGUUGUGAUUGGAAACCUGCAGAGCAGUGAGGGCAUGGCCAAGAGUUUUAAUGAAGAUUUUGAGACUGGAGCUGAUGACGAGUCUAUUUCCCUGGACUUGAUUCAGCUGUUUCUCCAUCUGGCGUUUGAGCACCUGGGGU